GGGCCGGUAGCUCAGGUGGGAGAGCGCCCGCCUUGCACGCGGGAGGUCGGGGGUUCGAGUCCCCCCCGGUCCA
rnacentral:tRNA from 1 species